UUAUGCCACAUUUUACUUACUUUAAAAAUAAUGCCAUGGUGGUUGAGAUUUAUAUUUGAUCAUGGCAUAUUCAUAUGCAUUUUACCUGAUCAUAAAUAUUAUGUUAUUGUGUAAUGCCAAGUCAUUCUACAGGACGCGCGUGUAAGUUCAGGUGAGUCUUUUGUGUUGUUUGGAAUGAUUGAAUUGUAUGGCAUGCCUAUAUUCAUAUAGUUCUCUCAUUAUUGCUGCACCGGUGUUAGUGCUCGCCCCGUCCUUCACGUGAUGUUCAUUUUGCACCCCACGCUCGCCUUAGAUCCAAGUAAGUGCUAGUCUUGUCGUAUAGGUCACAUUAAGCGACUCCGACUCAUAGGUGACAUGCAUAGUGCUUGUCUUCACGUGAUCGUAGCACUAGAGCAUAUAUUAUUAUUACACCUAGUCCUGUCGUACAUGUCACAUUAGGUGACUUUGACUCAUGUGUUAGCAGAGAUGGAUGAGCAAUAGGUGCAGUCGUACAUGUCAUAUUAGGUGACUCCAAUUGCGUGCUAGUAUAGAUUGUUGAACACAUGAUUAUAUUCAUAUUGUCGUUGAGAUGUUCUGUUGUGGCAUAUUCCUGAAUUUAUUGUUGGCAUGCAUUUGAUUUCAUACUUAUACUUAGUAUGAUUUUUGAAAACUAUACUUGUUUUACAGUGAGGGGUUAGUAUGUUCAGAAAACAAAUGGAUUUUAUAAACCUUUAUUUUUGUACACACUUACCUUUCUGUUUUUUUUCGUCCCUCCAGGUCCUAGAUAACUAACCUACUCUGUGGCACUCGAGGAUUACCCGGCAAUUUUGACAUAUCUCCAUUUUAACGUAGGAACUUAUCUCUAGUUGUGUAAUAAGCAAGGAAGAAAAUAUCGGUAAUAUCGGAAAUAUCGGUAGUCCGAAAACACGGAAAUAU
rnacentral:lncRNA from 1 species